rnacentral:ncRNA from 1 species
UAAAAAUUUUCUCAAAAGAGGAAAUGGAAGACCUGCAUUAAAUGAAAAGGCGGUGAAUUCGGGGAACGUCCGACCGUGAAAAACGGGGAUAAUCCCGAGCCAAGCUUGAGACGAAAGUUUCUUGAAGGUGUAACGACUAAUAGCCGAGCCUACGAGUAAAGCAAUAAAACUGAUUACGUCUACUUUUGAAAAAGAGGCAAGAGGAACUCUUUAUCGUUGCGACAUGCAAUGACAAAAAUAUGACUUUGAAAAGCGUUAUGAAAGCCUUUCAUUUUUAAUAUCAGUCUGUUUUAAACUUAUGGCAGUAAUGCUGACACGAGCGCCGCCCGCGAAAGCGAUGAUAUAGUCUGAGCCUUGCAGGAAUGUAAGG